UGUCCAGUAGCACCUUAGAGACCAACUAAGUUUGUUCUUGGUAUAAGCUUUCAUGUGCAUGCAUAAGAACAAACUUAGUUGGUCUCUAAGGUUCUACUGGACG